GCAAGAUGAAGAACAGGCCUGU
rnacentral:miRNA from 1 species